GGCUCGUGUGGUCGCGCGCUUAGUCCAGUAGAGGGCGACAGAACUGCGGCCUACUUUUAACAACUCAUAAACGACAAUAUUCCAGAUCCCCCUCCAGAGGAUUCAGAGAGAGGACUGCCAUCAUCCCCAGGCCUCUGGUUUCUAGAGACAGCUGACGGUAUUUGCCUCAGCCUAAUGCACUAUCAUGUGCAACGUUAACACUCACGAGGGACGUUGCUCUUGGUUUGGUCUCCAUGGAGCUAAAUUAUAAUGACAAGCAUCGCCUGAACAGCAUCCUGAACCCAGGGAAGAGCUGACUGUGGCAUCAUUUGAGAGCGUAAUGUCUGCCUGUGCGGCCCAGACAGAGAGACAGGGCUUCCCCCUGACACCAGCAUCGAUUCUCCCAUUGAAAGACUCUCCUUUCUUUCCUGUAGUAUUGAUGAAUGAUUCAUGAGGCUGCACAACGAGUGGAACUUGGCAGUGCACUUUGGACAGAGAGAUUGUGUGAGGAUCACACGGGCAGAGAUUAGCCAAUGCACCUAUUUUCAGAGACGGCUCGUGGCCGUGGACCCGUGAGGGGCAUCAGUAUAAAAUCUCCUUAAUAUGUUGGCUCAUUAGCUUUUA